rnacentral:rRNA from 1 species
GACGAACGCUGGCGGCGUGCUUAACACAUGCAAGUCGAACGGAAAGGCCCUGCUUUUGUGGGGUGCUCGAGUGGCGAACGGGUGAGUAACACGUGAGUAACCUGCCCUUGACUUUGGGAUAACUUCAGGAAACUCGGGCUAAUAUCGGAUAGGAGCUCCUGCUGCAUGGUGGGGGUUGGAAAGUUUCGGCGGUUGGGGAUGGACUCGCGGCUUAUCAGCUUGUUGGUGGGGUAGUUGCUUACCAAGGCUUUGACGGGUAGCCGGCCUGAGAGGGUGACCGGCCACAUUGGGACUGAGAUACGGCCCAGACUCCUACGGGAGGCAGCAGUGGGGAAUAUUGCACAAUGGGCGGAAGCCUGAUGCAGCAACGCCGCGUGCGGGAUGACGGGCUUCGGGUUGUAAACCGCUUUCGCCUGUGACGAAGCGUGAGUGACGGUAAUGGGUAAAGAAGCACCGGCUAACUACGUG